UACGUAGGGUCCGAGCGUUGUCCGGAAUUAUUGGGCGUAAAGAGCUCGUAGGCGGCUUGUCGCGUCGACCGUGAAAACUUGGGGCUCAACCCCAAGCCUGCGGUCGAUACGGGCAGGCUCGAGUUCGGUAGGGGAGACUGGAAUUCCUGGUGUAGCGGUGAAAUGCGUAGAUAUCUGGAGGAAUACCGGUGGCGAAGGCGGCAUCCUGGACCGGCAUUGACGCUGAGGAGCGAAAGCCAGGGGAGCAAAGCGGG
rnacentral:rRNA from 1 species